AGUGCCACCCUCCACGAGCGAGCAAGUCCCCGACCUCGCAGCAAGGGCAGGGAGAGCGCAAGUCGGGCCCGGAGGCCGCACCCCUGCCUCCCGCACACCACCGCCUGGCGGGGCGGAAAGACGAGGGGCCCACGGGCAGAACGAGAAGAGCGGUCCCAUUCGCCAUGAACGUCCGUCCCUCGUCUGUCGCAGCUUAGGCCCGGGCCCGAAGGAUAUCGCAAGGCCACCACAUCGAUCAACAUAGCCAGCCGCCGCCAC